rnacentral:tRNA from 1 species
GGGUGUAUGACUCGGUGGUGAGCAUUCGACUACAAAUCGGGAGGUCCCGGUUCAAAACCGGGUGCCCC